GACGAACGUUGGCGGCGUGCUUAACACAUGCAAGUCGAACGGUAAGGCCCUUCGGGGUACACGAGUGGCGAACGGGUGAGUAACACGUGGGUGAUCUACCCUGCACUUCGGGAUAAGCCUGGGAAACUGGGUCUAAUACCGGAUAGGACCACUGCCUGCAUGGGUGGUGGUGGAAAGCUUUUGCGGUGCGGGAUGGGCCCGCGGCCUAUCAGCUUGUUGGUGGGGUGAUGGCCUACCAAGGCGACGACGGGUAGCCGGCCUGAGAGGGUGACCGGCCACACUGGGACUGAGAUACGGCCCAGACUCCUACGGGAGGCAGCAGUGGGGAAUAUUACACAAUGGGCGCAAGCCUGAUGCAGCGACGCCGCGUGAGGGAUGACGGCCUUCGGGUUGUAAACCUCUUUCAGCACCGACGAAGCGCAAGUGACGGUAGGUGCAGAAGAAGGACCGGCCAACUACGUGCCAGCCGCCGCAGUAA
rnacentral:rRNA from 1 species